rnacentral:rRNA from 1 species
UGGGGAAUAUUGGACAAUGGGGGAAACCCUGAUCCAGCAAUGCCGCGUGAGUGAAGAAGGCCCUAGGGUUGUAAAGCUCUUUCACCCGUGAAGAUGAUGACGGUAGCGGGAGAAGAAGCCCCGGCUAACUCCGUGCCAGCAGCCGCGGUAAUACGGAGGGGGCUAGCGUUGUUCGGAAUUACUGGGCGUAAAGCGCACGUAGGCGGCUCGCAAAGUUAGGCGUGAAAGGCCUGGGCUCAACCCGGGAACUGCGUUUGAUACUGGCGGGCUGGAGUGCGGGAGAGGGUAGUGGAAUUCCCAGUGUAGAGGUGAAAUUCGUAGAUAUUGGGAAGAACACCGGUGGCGAAGGCGGCUACCUGGCCCGGUACUGACGCUGAGGUGCGAAAGCGUGGGGAGCAAACAGGAUUAGAUACCCCUGUAGUCC